rnacentral:rRNA from 1 species
AUGAACGCUGGCGGCGUGCCUAAUACAUGCAAGUCGAGCGAACAGACGAGGAGCUUGCUCCUCUGACGUUAGCGGCGGACGGGUGAGUAACACGUGGAUAACCUACCUAUAAGACUGGGAUAACUUCGGGAAACCGGAGCUAAUACCGGAUAAUAUAUUGAACCGCAUGGUUCAAUAGUGAAAGACGGUUUUGCUGUCACUUAUAGAUGGAUCCGCGCCGCAUUAGCUAGUUGGUAAGGUAACGGCUUACCAAGGCAACGAUGCGUAGCCGACCUGAGAGGGUGAUCGGCCACACUGGACCUGAGACACGGUCCAGACUCCUACGGGAGGCAGCAGUAGGGAAUCUUCCGCAAUGGGCGAAAGCUUGACGGAGCAACGCCGCGUGAGUGAUGAAGGUCUUCGGAUCGUAAAACUCUGUUAUUAGGGAAGAACAAAUGUGUAAGUAACUAUGCACGUCUUGACGGUACCUAAUCAGAAAGCCACGGCUAACUACGU